rnacentral:rRNA from 1 species
GAUUGAACGCUGGCGGUAGGCCUAACACAUGCAAGUCGAACGAUUAAAGCUCUCUUCGGAGAGUGCAUAGAGUGGCGCACGGGUGAGUAACACGUAAGUAAUCUACCUUCGAGUGGGGAAUAACGUCCGGAAACGGACGCUAAUACCGCAUAAUGCAGCGGCAUCGCAAGAUGACAGUUGCUAAAGGAGCAAUUCGCUUGAAGAGGAGCUUGCGGCAGAUUAGCUUGUUGGUAAGGUAACGGCUUACCAAGGCUACGAUCUGUAACCGGUCUAAGAGGACGGUCGGUCACACUGACACUGAAUAACGGGUCAGACUCCUACGGGAGGCAGCAGUCGGGAAUUUUGGGCAAUGGGGGAAACCCUGACCCAGCAACGCCGCGUGAAGGAUGAAGUAUUUCGGUAUGUAAACUUACGAAAGAAU